rnacentral:rRNA from 1 species
GAAAAGAAAUCAACCGAGAUUCCCAUAGUAGUGACGAGCGAACUGGGAACAGACCAGUAAUAUUUAAGUAAUAACUAAAACUAGAUUGAAUACUAGGCCAUAGAAGGUGAAAGCCCUGUAUGGGUAAAAAGCUUUUAUAUUCUUGAGUAGGGCGGGACACGUGAAAUCCUGUCUGAACAUGGGGGGACCACCCUCCAAGCCUAA